rnacentral:misc_RNA from 1 species
GUUUCUCAUUGAUUUCUCAUAUUUUACACAAUUGUUUAUAAUGGUGUUGGGGUCGUGGGGCAAAGAGGAGCCACAAGAAGGAGAACCUCUCAUUUUAACCAAGGCUAAAAAGUCCCCACGUAUACAUGUAGUUCACAAAGGAGUCCCUCAAGGGGCGCUGAUUCAAGAUGAUGGUCCAUGAUUGAACCAAAAUCCCUACUCCAGCAGAAAUUUAUAAUGAUCCAACCGCAGGUUCACCUACGGUUA